UACGUAGGGGGCAAGCGUUGCUCGGAAUCACUGGGCGUAAAGCGCACGUAGGCGGACUCUUAAGUCGGUGGUGAAAUCCUGGAGCUCAACUCCAGAACUGCCUUCGAUACUGAGAGUCUCGAGUCCGGGAGAGGUGAGUGGAACUGCGAGUGUAGAGGUGAAAUUCGUAGAUAUUCGCAAGAACACCAGUGGCGAAGGCGGCUCACUGGCCCGGUACUGACGCUGAGGUGCGAAAGCGUGGGGAGCAAACAGG
rnacentral:rRNA from 1 species